rnacentral:ncRNA from 1 species
UAAAAUUAAUUACACCAUCCAUAUAAUGUUGGCAAUAAGGGCUGACAGUCUCUACAAAGAAACCGUAAAUUUCUUUGCUAUGGGUGAAUACUAUGA